rnacentral:rRNA from 1 species
AGAGUUUGAUCCUGGCUCAGGACGAACGCUGGCGGCGCGCCUAACACAUGCAAGUCGAACGAGCGAGAGAGAGCUUGCUUUCUCGAGCGAGUGGCGAACGGGUGAGUAACGCGUGAGGAACCUGCCUCAAAGAGGGGGACAACAGUUGGAAACGACUGCUAAUACCGCAUAAGCCCACGGUGCCGCAUGGCACAGGGGGAAAAGGAGCAAUCCGCUUUGAGAUGGCCUCGCGUCCGAUUAGCUAGUUGGUGAGGUAACGGCCCACCAAGGCGACGAUCGGUAGCCGGACUGAGAGGUUGAACGGCCACAUUGGGACUGAGACACGGCCCAGACUCCUACGGGAGGCAGCAGUGGGGAAUAUUGCACAAUGGGGGAAACCCUGAUGCAGCGACGCCGCGUGGAGGAAGAAGGUCUUCGGAUUGUAAACUCCUGUUGUUGAGGAAGAUAAUGACGGUACUCAACAAGGAAGUGACGGCUAACUACGUGCCAGCAGCCGCGGUAAAACGUAGGUCACAAGCGUUGUCCGGAAUUACUGGGUGUAAAGGGAGCGCAGGCGGGAAGACAAGUUGGAAGUGAAAUCUAUGGGCUCAACCCAUAAACUGCUUUCAAAACUGUUUUUCUUGAGUAGUGCAGAGGUAGGCGGAAUUCCCGGUGUAGCGGUGGAAUGCGUAGAUAUCGGGAGGAACACCAGUGGCGAAGGCGGCCUACUGGGCACCAACUGACGCUGGGGCUCGAAAGUGUGGGUAGCAAACAGGAUUAGAUACCCUGGUAGUCCACACCGUAAACGAUGAUUACUAGGUGUUGGAGGAUUGACCCCUUCAGUGCCGUAGUUAACACAAUAAGUAAUCCACCUGGGGAGUACGACCGCAAGGUUGAAACUCAAAGGAAUUGACGGGGGCCCGCAUAAGCAGUGGAGUAUGUGGUUUAAUUCGACGCAACGCGAAGAACCUUACCAAGUCUCGACAUCCCUUGACGAACAUAGAGAUAUGUUUUCUCUUCGGAGCAAGGAGACAGGUGGUGCAUGGUUGUCGUCAGCUCGUGUCGUGAGAUGUUGGGUUAAGUCCCGCAACGAGCGCAACCCUUAUGGUCAGUUACUACGCAAGAGGACUCUGGCCAGACUGCCGUUGACAAAACGGAGGAAGGUGGGGAUGACGUCAAAUCAUCAUGCCCUUUAUGACUUGGGCUACACACGUACUACAAUGGCGUUAAACAAAGAGAAGCAAGACCGCGAGGUGGAGCAAAACUCAGAAACAACGUCCCAGUUCGGAAUGCAGGCUGGAACUCGCCUGCACGAAGUCGGAAUUGCUAGUAAUCGCAGGUCAGCAUGCUGCGGUGAAGAUCUCCCGGGCCUGUACACACCGCCC